GACGAACGCUGGCGGCGUGCCUAAUACAUGCAAGUAGAACGCACAGUUUAUACCGUAGCUUGCUACACCAUAAACUGUGAGUUGCGAACGGGUGAGUAACGCGUAGGUAACCUGCCUGGUAGCGGGGGAUAACUAUUGGAAACGAUAGCUAAUACCGCAUAAUAUUGAUUAUUGCAUGAUAAUUGAUUGAAAGAUGCUAUUGCAUCACUACCAGAUGGACCUGCGUUGUAUUAGCUAGUAGGUGAGGUAACGGCUCACCUAGGCGACGAUACAUAGCCGACCUGAGAGGGUGAUCGGCCACACUGGGACUGAGACAAGGCACAGACUCCUACGGGAGGCAGCAGUAGGGAAUCUUCGGCAAUGGACGAAAGUCUGACCGAGCAACGCCGCGUGAGUGAAGAAGGUUUUCGGAUCGUAAAGCUCUGUUGUAAGAGAAGAACGGGUGUGAGAGUGGAAAGUUCACACUGUGACGGUAUCUUAACAGAAAGGGACGGCUAACUACGUG
rnacentral:rRNA from 1 species